AUGCACAAGCUCGUGUCCGUCGCUUUGCUAGUCUUUGUCUCAUGGUCUACGCCGGCGGUCUCUUCCCGGUCCGGCGUCCCUUGCUACCAAUCCAUCUUCAGCUUCGGUGACUCCUUCGCUGACACAGGCAAUAACCCUGUGGUCUUCGAAUGGUACUCCAUCUUCGACCCCGUCACCCGUCCUCCCUAUGGCACCAGCUUUUUCGGCCGCCACACUGGUCGCAACGGGGACGGGCGGCUCAUCAUCGACUUCAUCGCUGAGAACUUGGGCCUACCAUAUGUCCCGCCCAACCUGGCGCACAACGGUAGCUUCCGGCGAGGCGCCAACUUUGCCGUUGGUGCCGCAACCGCAGUCGAUGCUGGUUUCUUCCACGAGAGGGGUAUCCCCAGUGCCACCAGCAAGUUCCCGCUGAACACCAGCUUAGGCGUGCAGCUGGAGUGGUUUGAGUCCCUGAAGCCUUCCUUAUAUCGCACAACCCGAGAGUGUAAGAAAUUCUUCGGCAGAUCCCUCUUCUUCGUGGGGGAGUUCGGAGUCAACGACUAUCACAUGUCGUUCCAACAGAGAACGGUACAGGAGGUCAGGUCCCUCGUUCCUGAUGUCGUCGCGAGCAUCUCCAAGGCCAUCGAGGUUCGUUACGUACUCCAUCAGAGGCUCAUCACCAUGCAUGGCGCGAGGAGCCUUGUUGUCCCUGGAGUGAUUCCGUCGGGAUGCUCGCCGCCCAUCCUGACCAGGUUCGCCGACGCCUCACCACCAUCAGCAUACGACUCCAGGACCGGCUGUCUCAAAGCAUAUAUACGACUCCACAACUCGCUACUGCAGGCUGAGCUAGCCAAGCUUCAGGCCAAGCACUGGAACGCCAGGAUCAUCUACGCCGAUUUCUUCGGCCCAAUCAUGGACAUGGUGUAG
rnacentral:rRNA from 1 species